ensembl:lncRNA
GGAAGAGGCAGACAGCUGGGAUGAAGCUCUUCCUUGCACCUUCUAGCUGCUCAACUUGGUGACAGUUAGAUCACUUUGCAGGGCCUUCAUGGGAAUGAGAUGAGACUGCGUGAAGCUGCCCAGGGCGAUGCCCAGCGCAAGGAGGACCGAACCAAGAGGACCUGUGCUCAGCUUUGCAAAUCUGUUUCUUUAUGCCACACGUUCUCAUCACAGAUGGUCUCACUGUCCUUGCCCACCACUACUGGCCCUGAAAUUACAAGGCUGUGUGGACCUGGGGCUAUGGCAAGUUCUUGCAUUUUAGCCUUGAAAGGUAACAUAGUGAUGUGUUUUUCUCUCUCUUUUAUAGCAUUUUUUCAUGUACCUUUGCUUGGAAGGGAAUUAGUUUGUAACACAGUCUUUUCAUUUCAG